rnacentral:rRNA from 1 species
GACGAACGCUGGCGGCGUGCUUAACACAUGCAAGUCAAGGACUGUAGCCCCGCAAGGGGAUGCAGGACUGGCGCACGGGUGCGGAACACGUAGGUAAUCUACCCCAUAGGGGAGAACAACUCGUCGAAAGACGAGCUAAAACUCCGUAACAUGAGAGAGCGGCAUCGCUCUUUUAUCAAGCUUUCUAAGGGAUGAGCCUGCGCCUGAUUAGCUAGUUGGUAGGGUAACGGCCUACCAAGGCUACGAUCAGUAGCUGGUCUGAGAGGAUGAUCAGCCACAUUGGGACUGAGACACGGCCCAGACUCCUACGGGAGGCAGCAGUGAGGAAUAUUGCUCAAUGGACGAAAGUCUGAAGCAGCAACGCCGCGUGAGGGAUGAAGGUGCUCUGCAUCGUAAACCUCUGUAGAGGGAGACAAACUUCGAGUUACUACUCGAUUGAUGGUACCCCUAAAGUAAGGAUCGGCUAACUACGUGCCAGCAGCCGCGGUAAUACGUAGGAUCCAAGCGUUGUCCGGAUUUACUGGGUGUAAAGGGUGCGCAGGCGGACCAAUAAGUCAGGAGUGAAAUCUCGGCGCUCAACGCCGAAACGUCUUUUGAUACUGUUG